UACGUAGGCAGCAAGCGUUGUUCGGAGUUACUGGGCGUAAAGGGUGUGUAGGCGGUUCUUUAAGUUUGGUGUGAAAUCUCCCGGCUCAACCGGGAGGGUGCGCCGAAUACUGAGGGACUCGAGUGCGGGAGAGGAAAGUGGAAUUCCUGGUGUAGCGGUGAAAUGCGUAGAUAUCAGGAGGAGCACCGGUGGUGUAGACGGCUUUCUGGACCGUAACUGACGCUGAGACACGAAAGCGUGGGUAGCAAACAGG
rnacentral:rRNA from 1 species